rnacentral:lncRNA from 1 species
AGGGCUGAUGUCUGGCUCCCGUAGGAGCUCGGGUAAAAUCUAGAAGGCGGUCGACCGCCAUAGAAACUUGGAUGGAGUCCGCCCGUCAUGGAGAUCUACUGUUGAAAAAGUUCGGCCACUGACGAACUGACGAAGUUCUGGAAGAAAUUUGGAUUGGAGUCGAUCGAAUCCUGUUGGAAAAGAUCUGGAAGAGGUCCGGGGAGCGGUUGACCCUUG